rnacentral:rRNA from 1 species
UACGUAGGGAGCAAGCGUUGUCCGGAUUUAUUGGGCGUAAAGAGCGUGUAGGCGGCCAGGCAGGUCCGCUGUGAAAACUCGAGGCUCAACCUCGAGAGGUCGGUGGAAACCGUCUGGCUAGAGUCCGGAAGAGGAGAGUGGAAUUCCCGGUGUAGCGGUGAAAUGCGCAGAUAUCGGGAAGAACACCCGUGGCGAAGGCGGCUCUCUGGGACGGUACUGACGCUGAGACGCGAAAGCGUGGGGAGCGAACAGG